CCUACGGGAGGCUGCAGUGAGGAAUAUUGGUCAAUGGCCGGGAGGCUGAACCAGCCAAGUCGCGUGAGGGAAGACGGCCCUACGGGUUGUAAACCUCUUUUGUCAGGGAGCAAGGUGCAGGUCGGGACCUGCUGUGAGAGUACCUGAAGAAAAAGCAUUCGCCAACUCCGUGCCAGCAGCCGCGGUAAUACGGAGGGGGUGAGCGUUAACCGGAUUUACUUGGUGGAAAGGGAGCGUAGACGGUUCUGCAAGUCCGAAGUGAAAGCCCGUGGCUUAACCGCGGAACGGCUUUUGAAACUGGGGAACUGGAGUGCUGGAGAGGCAAGCGGAAUUCCUAGUGUAGCGGUGAAAUGCGUAGAUAUUAGGAAGAACACCAGUGGCGAAGGCAGCUUGCUGAACAGUAACUGACGUUGAGGCUCGAAAGCGUGGGGAGCAAACAGGAUUAGAUACCCGGGUAGUC
rnacentral:rRNA from 1 species